UCUGCCCAUUGGUUUGGAAUAACACGAGGAAACUUGUGCUAAUACCAGAUAAGCCUUUACGGGGAAAGCUUUAUGCGCCGAUGGAUGAGCCCGCACUUGAUUAGCUAGUUGGUAAGGUAAAAGCUUACCAAGGCUACGAUCAAUAGCUGAUCUGAGAGGAUGAUCAGCCACAUUGGGACUGAGACACGGCCCAAACUCCUACGGGAGGCAGCAGUAGGGAAUCUUGCACAAUGGGGGAAACCCUGAUGCAGCGAUGCCGCGUGAGUGAAGAAGGCCUUUGGGUUGUAAAGCUCUUUCGUCGGGGAAGAAAAUGACUGUACCCGAAUAAGAAGGUCCGGCUAACUUCGUGCCAGCAGCCGCGGUAAUACGAAGGGACCUAGCGUAGUUCGGAAUUACUGGGCUUAAAGAGCUCGUAGGUGGUUAGAAAAGUUGGUGGUGAAAUCCCAAGGCUUAACCUUGGAGCUGCCACCAAAACUUUUUAACUAGAGUAUGAUAGAGGUAAGCGGAAUUUCUAGUGUAGAGGUGAAAUUCGUAGAUAUUAGAAAGAACACCAAUUGCGAAGGCAGUUUACUGGAUCAUUACUGACACUGAGGAGCGAAAGCAUGGGUAGCGAAGAGGAUUAGAUACCCUCGUAGUCCAUGCCGUAAACGAUGUGUGCUAGACGUUGGAAAUUUAUUUUUCAGUGUCGCAGCAAAAGCGUUAAGCACACC
rnacentral:rRNA from 1 species